rnacentral:rRNA from 1 species
UACGUAGGGCGCAAGCGUUAAUCGGAAUUACUGGGCGUAAAGCGUGCGCAGGCGGUUUUGUAAGUCUGUCGUGAAAGCCCCGGGCUCAACCUGGGAAUUGCGAUGGAGACUGCAAGGCUUGAAUCUGGCAGAGGGGGGUAGAAUUCCACGUGUAGCAGUGAAAUGCGUAGAGAUGUGGAGGAACACCGAUGGCGAAGGCAGCCCCCUGGGCCAAUACUGACGCUCAUGCACGAAAGCGUGGGGAGCAAACAGG